GAUGGAGAAGGAGGAAGAUCUUGGUUCUGCAGACUGUCAUGAAGAUGCUACAGACCUGAUCUGUGGACUCGUCAGAGAACUCUCCUCUCUAAAUCGUAAGGUCAUGGCCACUCAUAGAGAGCUGGAGAACCUGCGCCGUGGCAGUAAAGCUUCCAGGAGCUCCAGCCGUUGAGGAUUUGUUUCAAGUCCCUGCCAUCCUGAGCUUAUUGUUGCCCUAAUGGUUUGUGGGUAAUGAAGUCACUUUUAAAUGUUACUAUACAAUGUUUUUUUUUACUCUUGUACUAUUGACCGCUGGAAUGUUCAGUUUAAAUAGCUCAGUUGUUCUUGUUCUCCCUAAAUAAAGCUGCGUGUUGUUUAUUACGUCAGUAAUCUUAAA